rnacentral:tRNA from 1 species
CGCGGGGUGGAGCAGUCUGGUCAGCUCGUGUGGCUCAUAACCACAAGGUCGUAGGUUCAAAUCCUACCCCCGCUACCA